GUUGCAGUCCUCUAGAGCUGCGGGGAAGAAGAAGAAGAAGAUGUGACUCAUAUAUUGCUUCUCUCUGGUGGUGAAGACUCUUCCCUGGAAUCAAAGAUAUGCCUAUCCCUGCAUCAUAUAAAGUGUGGCCUGCAGGUUGGUCCGCUGCGGGUGCUUGUGGCUCUGGUCGGUUCGUCCUGCUGCAUCUGCGGUCGCCAAUAUGCAGUUGGAUCGGUGGGUGGCGACAUGUUCGCUGUUUGGUCGAGUCGUCCACGGCGUUGUUGCUGCCGUCCAGGAUGAGCUGCUCAGCCUGCUACUCCACGAGACUCCCUAGCAACAGCUGAAGAGAGGUUCCAUGGGAACAAGCACACAUGGUUGUUCGCCGUUAGCAUCGUCCCUUAACUGCGACCCUUUAGACCCUUUGCUGAUCCAGCUCCCAGAAGGUCAGUGCCUGG